CCUACGGGCGGCAGCAGUGGGGAAUAUUGGACAAUGGGGGGAACCCUGAUCCAGCGACGCCGCGUGAGUGAAGAAGUAUUUCGGUAUGUAAAGCUCUAUCAGCAGGGAAGAAAAUGACGGUACCUGACUAAGAAGCCCCGGCUAACUACGUGCCAGCAGCCGCGGUAAUACGUAGGGGGCAAGCGUUAUCCGGAUUUACUGGGUGUAAAGGGAGCGUAGACGGUACUGCAAGUCUGGAGUGAAACCCGCGGGCUCAACCUGCGGCAUGCUUUGGAAACUGUGGUACUGGAGUGUCGGAGAGGUAAGCGGAAUUCCCAGUGUAGCGGUGAAAUGCGUAGAUAUUGGGAAGAACACCUGGGGCGAAGGCGGCUUACUGGACGAUUACUGACGUUGAGGCUCGAAGGCGUGGGGAGCAAACAGGAUUAGAUACCCUAGUAGUC
rnacentral:rRNA from 1 species